UCUCAUUCGGGGUUAGAGUGGCCAGAAGUCGGCUGCGUUUGCACCUAUCGCUCAUUCGCUCCUUGCGGACGAUUCCCCACUUGAACCCGAAUACUUUGUGAAUAUUCAUGAGGCAUUGGAAAGGUCUGCCUUUCCCUUCCUCUCCCAACUCAGGCUGUGUGUUUCUCUUGUGGAAUUAAGUGCUUUUGUAUAAAGUGAAGCCGAAGGAGAGUCAAGAGGGCAACUUCUCUGCCAUUCUUUGCCAGUUUUGUUUGUUUGUUUUCCGGUCUCAUCUUACUAAAAGGAGGAAACAGAUUCCCCAAAAGCAGCGGCCUUGCAUCGUGGAGCACCUCUGGGCAGCUCUGACCACCGUAGGCCUCAGAUCGCGUCUUGCCUCCUGGGAGGGAAAGAGAUCUGGAAAGGGGACGGUUGCUUCCUUCCUGUCCGUUCACAGCUAGCGGCGGGGGAGGGGCCUGAGGGAGCUCCGGGGGUGGGGUCAGAACACCAGCAAAGGCUCUCGGUCCACCAAGCCACAGCUCUGGACUGUUUCUGUCUAGAAAGUGGCAAAUUACUGCACAAUAAAGCUGUUUAGCCCUACAUGGCUCUGUGUGGGGACUUAAGGCCAUUCCGGUCCUAGGUUUUCAAGUCUACGUUUGAAUGAGCUUGGAAAGCUCUGUGGCUGACGUGUGCUUCUCACGGAAGAUGCCUUCGGUAGGAAGGGAGAAAACGCCCACCUUCAGCGAGAGGAACUUCUUGGACUGUGCACCUGGUCAGCUCGCGGAGAAGCCGGGUGGAGGGAUAGGUCUGGCACAGGGGCUUCCGGGGUUUUCUGUCGCUUUAAAUGUGCCUCCUAGAAGCUGUGAGAUAACACGAGUGGCUGGCAUUAUGUUUCUGCUGGACAGGGCUGCUGUGGAACAUCCACUCCUCAGCAAUGCCUACUCCUAGCGUGUUGGGACUGGAACUGACUCCAAGGAGCAGCCAACUCCCCGGCCUAAAUGGUGCAGAGGUCAGACGACAGCACAGACCAGGACCAGAAAUCUUUCCGCAGGGUUUGUGGACUGUGUGAACCACUUGAGCUACUUAUUCAACCCCAGGGAGAGCUGGUGUCCCUCAAGAACGACAGCCACAGGACGGCUUCUCCACCCUGGAGGGCGGCAGGUGCUCAGAACUCGGAAAAUCUGUGGUUGUAAUGGAUCUUGUGAGUGGAUUCACAGCUGCUCUGCUAAUUGAGAUUUUUCUAAAAGAAUAUGUAAAGGGACAGAUGACCUUGACUUGGAUGAAGUCACACAUCUGGCAACUGGCUGGCUUGAGCCCAGGUCGUCUGAACUGACAUCCGAUUCUAUCGCAAAAUGUGUCUCCUAGAAAACGACUCCUGAUUAAAAUGACAGCAGCAAGAAGGCAUGCGAAUCUCAGCUCUUGGGAUGAGAUCAGGUUUUGACCCCCUACCCCUGCAUUUGCUCGCUGGCUGUGAAUGACUGCCUGGCGUUGUCUGGGGAAGUUGCAGGUCCUGGGUCCUGCCUGGGCGGGUGGGGAAGACUGGGAGGGUGGCAAGGAGGAGACCCCCUUGGUUUGGGGCCAUGUCUCACGUGGCCGCAGCGGAGGAGGUUUUGUGGAGGCUGCUCCAGCUGUCCUUCCUCUUAAAGCCCCCGUGACAUAACUUCCUUGACAGAGUAAGCAUGUGAGUGUCCAGAGCAGCGGGGCAUCAUGGAGGUGGCUGGUCGCAGAGGUCUGCAAGGUGGAUGCAGUGUGACUUCCCGGAGGUCCUGUAACUCUCCUGUCUUUAGACUCAAAAGGUGUUCGUGGUCAUUGUGGUUGGGUUGAUGAGAGUACGUGUGGACGAGUAGCAACUGUUUGGGGAGAAGUUACCGUGUGCCGCGUGCUGUAAAUAUUUUCUCCUUUUUCAGUUCUGAAAACAAGAGCACGUGCAAGUGGCAGGCGGAUAAACCAACGCCCCAGAAAGGGGGGUGGAGAAAAGUCCUGAUAUGCAGUGUUUGCCAAUUUCCGUGGUGUAAACGCUCCCACCACUGCUGAUUUCAGGCUUAUCAGCAGUUUUACAACCAGUUCACAAAAUCGCUGGAUAUUUACCAGGCAGAUCUCUUGAGCCAGAGGAGCAGCUCCAGCACGUUUGAGGUAAUCAGGGAUUUUACAGAUGUAGGAGGUAAGGAUUGGAGAUUUUAUAGGUAAGGAAAUGGAGGCUUGGAGGUCACCUGCCCUCUAACUGUGGGUUGGCAAAAGCUGUCCUAGCCUUUUUCUUCACUGCCUCCUGGCCUCCAUCUGACCCUCAGCCCAGUGGUGAACUGUCCAUGUUCAAGGCUAUCUCUCAAUUCAGCUUCCUGCUCCCCCAGGUCAGGCGACGCCGGUGGCCUUGGAGAGCUGACUUUGUCCAGCCGCAUCCCACGGCCUGUGGCUUGCUCUCCCUUCCUCCUCUCUGCCCACUCUAAACUGUCUUGCUGCUGGUGCCUCUGUCUCGUCCUUGAUGCCCUUGACCUCUCCUGGCGCCCUCUCCCUCCUUUCAACACUCCUGAAUGAGCCACUCUGUAGCAAGCAGUGAGAUUGCACUAAGUGGCAGAGCCUUUGAGAACCUGGAAAGACAGGUGAAAUGCUGCCUUUCCACCCCUGUUCCAGCAGCACUCACCCUCACUCCCCGGCUCCAGGCAUCCUGGCCUCGCCGAUGUUCCGGAGCCCCCCAAGAUCCUUCUCUCCUUUGGGCCCUUGAGCUUAUGGUUCCAUCUACCUGGAAUGCCCAUCCCUUGGCUAUUCCCAUUACGGACACACCUCAUUUUAUUGCAUUUCACAGGUAUUGUGUUUUUACAGAUUGAAAGUUUGUGGCAACCCUCCAUUGAACAAUUCUAUCGGCACCAUUUUUCCAACAGCAUUUGCUCACUUCAGGCCUCUGUGUCACAUUUGGUUGCUCUCUCUGGGGGGACCGGACGCCAUGUUGCGAGGAUGCCCAAGCAGCCCUGCAGGGAAGCCCACGUCAGGAGGAGCUGAUGCCUCGCACCAACAGCCAGCACCAACUUGCCAGGGACUGGGGAUCCUGCCUCAGGACCACCAGCCAUCCAGCUGUCACGUGCUGGUGCCCCUACUUCUGUGUCUACUUUGAAUUUCAGAAAGGAUCUGCCCACAGCUGGGACAGAGUGGGCACCCAGCUCUACCUCCUGGAUGUCACUGUCCACAGCAAGAAGCCCUGCAGCUCUCCUCCCCUCCGCGUCCCAGCCCCUCGUCCAGAGGCCUCACGGAAAGAGCUAAGUAUCCAAUGGGAGCCGAAGCGAGAGGGAAAAGCCCAUCCACAUGGCUUCCCUGCUUUCCCGGGGGGCCCUGCUCAGCUUGGUGGCCCUGUGUCGCUGCACUUAGCAACCCUGCCUUGCCCACCAACGCCAUGCUUCCCGUGGCUUCCUGGGUGGAGGUAGACACCUGGGCUGUGGAAGGCAACUCAUAAAAGGUUGUGAGGUUUCCUGCCCAAGUUACUAGAAAUUAAAACACUUAAGGGCCAAGCUGGCCACAGGGGCUCCAGUUCCGGGUUGAUGGACAGGCGGGGCCUGAGCCUUUGCAGGGAGGAAAGAGGUCCCUCCUCCAGGCGCUGGCCACGCAGGGCUGCCUGCCCCUUGGCUGGACACCAAGCCAGCCACUCUCAUGGGGGCCCCGAAUAGGAGGCCACAAGGUGCCCAGCGAGAUCCACACUUGCCAACCACACCCGCAGCCAAGUGCACCCGCUGACCAGAGCUGAGAGGACUGGUCACCAGGAUGCACGUGGUCUCCGCCACAGCCUUGGGCAGAAAAAGCCAUGCUCCCUUGGCUCCUUGGGGACCCAGCUAGCUGCACGUUAUGAUUAGAGCUGCUCAGCUGUGGUCCCUGGCCCUGCUUGCACAUUAGGAUCCUGGGGAAGAUUCUAAGAAAUUCCAGCAUCUGAGCUCCACCGCAAGGCAAUUUCAACCCCAGUCUCUGGGGUGGGGCCUGGGCAGCUGUUUCUAACAGGCAGCUAUGGGUGAGAAGCAGCGGCUGAGAAGAAUGAUGUUCCCAUCUCAUUUCAGCAGGGAACUCUUCCCUCCCCCAGAAUCUGCACCGAGGGAUAAACAUGGGCAGUUGAGGACAGGCUGCUCUGACCGCUGUGCGUUCCCCGUGCUUCCCCAGCUUCCGAGAAGCCCCGAGUGAUCGAAAACCACUGAUGGGCGGCAUCCACUGGUGGACGGGAAUCGUGAGAGAGGAAUUUUCCAAAGUUCCUGGGAGAACACAAGGCCAGCCCUCACCCCUGGCUGUUUGCCAUUCCCGAAGGUCAGAGCCUGCCGCCGCCCCCUGCCUGGCACUGCUGCUCGCAGACCCCUUCUCAUGCCCCCCAGGACUUGAAAGCAAGGACGAAGCUUCAGGGGGCGAAUAGCAGGGAAAACAUCAUCUCUGCCUCUCUUCCCUCCUCCUGUUCUGCUUCCCACUCCUGAUCCCAGAGGGGCCACAGAGCCCAUGCCGGCCCCUCUGGCUGCUCUGUGAGGCUCAGGCAAGCCAGCGGGGCAGGUGGCUCCAUGUGUCAUAGGUCCUGGCCAGGCCCACUUCCGACCUUCUCCACCUCCUGGCAGAGGCGAGACUAAGAGGACCCGCCCUUCCCUCCCUCCAUCACACCCGUCCCGACUGGGGGAAAGCGGAGCCUGCGGUAUCGGGCAGCCAUGGACUAAGCGCUAGUGCAGUGAGGCUGCCCGAGCCCCUGACCCAGGCACCCCGGCCCCUCUGCUGGAGAGCAUGGCCUUGGAGUGACUCCUGGGCACAGCACCUGCCACCUGCUGCCCACACCCUCUGUGUUCCCUCUGUCGUGGGGAAGAGCCACCCUCUUCAUUUUAGAUCAGAGUUCGGCUGAGGGCUCGCCCCGUGGCACGCUUUCUCAGAAGCCAUAUUCUUCCGGGUGGGGCUGUUGGUCUCCCCCCAGGACAACCACCACCCCCUGCCAGACCCCCAAGACUGACAAGGGCAACAGGGGGAGUGCUCUGUGUGUGGCAUCAGCUG